rfam:Bellilinea caldifistulae strain GOMI-1 contig_2, whole genome shotgun sequence.
GGGUGGGACCGGCGCGGCAGAAUCCGCCGAACCCUGUCAGGUCCGAGAGGAAGCAGCAGUAAGGUGGUCACUCUGGGCGCCGCCGGCAAACCUGCCCGGC